AACGAACGCUGGCGGCAGGCCUAACACAUGCAAGUCGAACGCUCGUAGCAAUACGGGAGUGGCAGACGGGUGAGUAACACGUGGGAACCUUCCCUAUGGUUCGGAAUAGCUCAGGGAAACUUGGGGUAAUACCGGAUAAGCCCUUCGGGGGAAAGAUUUAUCGCCAUUGGAUGGGCCCGCGUCGGAUUAGCUAGUUGGUGAGGUAACGGCUCACCAAGGCAACGAUCCGUAGCUGGUCUGAGAGGAUGAUCAGCCACACUGGGACUGAGACACGGCCCAGACUCCUACGGGAGGCAGCAGUGGGGAAUAUUGGACAAUGGGCGCAAGCCUGAUCCAGCCAUGCCGCGUGAGUGACGAAGGUCUUCGGAUUGU
rnacentral:rRNA from 1 species